rnacentral:rRNA from 1 species
UACGUAGGUGGCAAGCGUUAUCCGGAAUUAUUGGGCGUAAAGAGCACGCAGGUGGUUAAUUAAGUCUGAUGUGAAAGCCCACGGCUUAACCGUGGAGGGUCAUUGGAAACUGGUUGACUUGAGUGCAGAAGAGGGAAGUGGAAUUCCAUGUGUAGCGGUGAAAUGCGUAGAGAUAUGGAGGAACACCAGUGGCGAAGGCGGCUUCCUGGUCUGCAACUGACACUGAGGCGCGAAAGCGUGGGGAGCAAACAGG